rnacentral:piRNA from 1 species
UCCUAGGUCCAGGUUGGUUGAAUCUGAUGU